UACGGCCAUAUCUCAUUAAAACACAGGUCCCUGUGCGAUCACCUAAGUAAAGCAACGUCGAGCUUGUUAAGUACUUAGAUGGGUGACCACUUAAGAAUAUCAGGUGUU